ensembl:snRNA U6 U6 spliceosomal RNA
GUGCUCACUUCAGCAGCACAUUUCCUAAAAUUGGAACCACACAGGAAGAUGAGCAUGGCCCCUGUGCAGGGAUGACGUGCAAAUUUGUGAAGUGUUGCAUAUUUUU